CAGGAAUCGGGGUUCCUUCCUGACGCACGCGGAACUGCGAUGCGUUAGUCCAGCUUCCCCACGAAGCAGAAGCCAGGGCUGGGUUGAAGCAGAGGGGACUGGGCUAGGGAGCAUUCCUGGGAGAGGGGCUGGGGUGCCGCUGCAAGCAGGGUUAGAGUGCGGCCAGGGAAGGCUGUUGGGGUGUCCUGGAGAAUCGGUGCAGCUCACACGAGUCCCGAGUCCCCCAGGAGAGAAAGGGCCGACAUUGCUAUCCCUGCUGUGCUUAGCUCUAGCUGGCGGCAGCCCACGGCCCGGACACGGAGUGGAGAUGGGGUUCAGGGGAAGCAGCGAGGGCUUUGGCCCGUGAUGCUCCCUGUGGUUAGAGGCCUGCGGGGAGCCCUGUCAUGACCUACGCAUAGAGGUACAGGGGAGCAGAAGCUCGCUUGCCUGGAAGUCAGAGUAAGAGGAUGACGGAGGAGACAGACAGAGAAAGGCCUGGGCCACGAGCGUGACGGCAACCGGAAGUCAGUUAGAGACAGAAAGACAGACGGAGAGACAAAAAUGAAGGCCGCAGAGAAGACAUCUUUCUAGUCUCCAGCCCAGCAUUCCUUUCAAGAGAGUGCUGGGUUUCUUUGAGAUCCCCCGCUAUACCCUGACCACAGGCUUGUCUUCCCCAGAGCUAUGCAAAAGGCACUCCGGUCCUCUCCAUAGUACUAGGCCUCUCUGCAUCCGUACCAAUUCUCAACGCCUGAGAGCCGACCAGACAUCCCAAGAAGAGGAGGCUUUUCUUACAUCCUCCUCCAUUGCUCUGCUCCCCCAGGGGCCUUCCCUGAGUAGUCUCCACCCCGGCCUGGUUUCCUUCCCUCUCUGGCAGGUGACCUCACAGUGGCGGCUGCUGGCUUGUUCUCUGGAUGCCUCAUGGGUGUCUGUCUCAUUUUCUUAAUAAGCAGACAGAAGAGGUUCUUGGGCCGCCUCAGAUCCCUGGCUUUCCCCUUUCCUGGCUGUGUGACCUUGGACAGUUACCCAACCUGUCUGAACAUCUGCUGGAAGCGCCUCGCUGGAGAGAUGGAACGCUAACCUACCUGAACGGCCAGUGUGGUCACAGAGCUGUUGAGGGAAGAGCUUGUACUGGGCCUCAAAUUCCUGAGAUCUCCUCUCCACUGCAGGGCUGUCCUCCAGCCCCCAGGUGCCCACGGUGGCAGAAGGUACAGAAAGUCCAUCUAUGAAGGGAAGCCAUUCUGAGAUUCCUUUGUAACCAGCAGUGCUCUUCCCGCUGUGUCUCUCUGCUCUUUGUUCUUUGCAAAACCCUCACUUUGGUUCAGCUGGAGCUCUCGGGACCCCAAACCUACCUUUCAACUCAGAAGAGAAUGUGACAACCUAAGAGAACUCUUCCCUUCCGGAGCUUCUACUCCAUGUCCUUUGUAAUCCAGUCCCCAUCUGACCCACUGAAUAAUGGUUAGAUUUUCACUCAUUGGUUCUCAACCUUGAUUGAAUAUUAGAAUCACUGGGGCUGGUGAUAGAGCUCAGCGGUACAAGUGCCUACCUGGCAAGUGCAGGGUCCUCGGUUUGAUUCCUGGUACCAAAAAGAAUAGAAUCACUGGGAGCUUUUAAAAGUGUUUUAUCCAGACCCAACUCCAACCAAUGAAAUGAGAAUCUGGUGGGAAGGAAGGGUAGGAGGUGAGGAUGAUGAUCAGAAUUUUAUUUUAGAAGUCCUUAGGUGAUUCUAACAUUCUCCCCAGGUUUAGGACCUGUGAUCUAGUUGUAACCAGGUCCCUCUCUUGUAACAGAGGAGGAAACUGAGGCUCAUAGAGGUGCAUCACCUUCCUCAAAGCCUCAAAGUCUGGCCUUGGUUCCUUUGCCUUCAAAUUCCCAGUGCCCUUUCUGAAGAUACUCAGUAGUUACUGAAGGAAUCUAUAAAUAGAUGUGGAGUGGGUGGGGGGAGUGAGAGAGAUCUAUUUGAUACUUUCCUUACAGUCCCCACUAACCUGCCUUAGCUUAGGUAGCCAUCUUUGAACCACGUGAUUGACUUUGGCAAAGCUGAUUGGACUAGGAAAGGAAACCUCAACUAAGAUGGACCAAUGAGAUGACCAGGUUGGCUAUUUAAAAUCAGGACACUGGUGGUCUGAGCCAAUGAGCUGCAGGGAACUGAGCAGGAGGUCAGUGGAGACUUAGGAAUGGUGGCAGAUAUUUGAGGUCCAGUGUGAGCUGGUGAGUAGAGAGAGGACGAGAGAGAAGCAGGAAAGUAUAACAGACUCCCGGUGUCAGUCUAGGGUGAUGCAUAAGCAAUGGAAUUUUAUUUCUUGUGGUUCUGGAAGCUGGGAAGUCCAUCAAGUUGCCAAAGCAGACUGGUGCCUGGUAAAGACUGCUCCUGCUUCCAAAAUGGCGCCUUGUAGCUGUGCCAUGAGGAAAGUGGAUGGAGGAAUGCAUGCUGUAUGCUCACAUGGUGAAAGGUGGGAAGGCAGAGGUUGUUCCCUCCAACCCUGAGCCCUUUUAUAAGGUGCCCAUCCCAUCACAAGAGCCUUCCCAAAUCAAUCACCUCCCAAGGCCACACCUCCUGUUACUGUUGAGCGAGGGCUUAGGUUUCAACAGGAAUUUUGGCAGUGACAUCAUCAGUCAAACCAUGGCACAUGGUGAGAGGUAGAGACCAGGGGCCUGGCAGGUCUGGGUUCCCCUGGGAUAUGCACCCUCCCACUGUCCCUCACCAAGGAGGUCCCUGACACUCUCAGGGCCCUGCCCAGUCCAGCCACAGGGAACACGCAAAAGCCUGUCAGUGCCGAAGACCUCGAUGUCCCCCUCCAGUUUGCCUCCAACCCUGUACGGCGUCCCACCGAGUGACCGAGGCCCCUGUCAUGGAAAGUGCUAGGGCAAAGGGUGGGUGCUCACCUACUGGAUUUUUCUGGCAAGUUGGCGUCAAAGGUCCGGCUCAGCCACGUGACCUUGAAUUUCCACAGUGGGCGGAAGCGGGUAUUUUAAGAUUGUUGUUUUCUCUUUCUUGGCACUCAAUGCCCCAUGCCUGACGCUUGGUCUCUGGCAAGGAAACCUGUACCCCUUGGGAAGGAGUGGGGCUGCACAGCAAACAAAGAGCACGAGCGAAUUCUCUCUGCCCCCUCCCCAGUUCGGCUGGCGGUGGGGGACGGGCAGGGGCCUGGGAACAAUGGGAGCCGUGAGUCACGGGGGAAGGCAGGAUACCAUCCCAAAAGGGCUCCUCUAGCCAGGUCCGGAGGGCCUGACGUAGGUAGCUGGCAAACAGUGACACCUGGAGUGACCCCUGCUUCUGCGCAGUCACUUGCCUUGACCUGGGUUUUCUUUUUAAUCUUUUAAUUCAACUUUUAUUUUUAGUGAGGUUAUAUAUAUGUAUAUGUAUUUCCCAGAAGUGAAGUAAUGAUACAUAGACUGCAAUGGAAAACAGUGGCUGUGGGGCCUGCCCUUCUCCAAUACCAAUCCCUAGCGGCGAUUUCUUUUGAAUUCCAAGUUAUUUCUUCCUGUUUUUCCUUCACUUUCUAAAAUAACCUCUAGGGGCUCGGGAUUUAGCUCAGCGGCACGGCACCUGCCUGGCAAGUGCAAGGUCGCGAGUUCAAUUCCUGGUACCAGAAGAAAACAAAAUUUUUAAAUAAAAUAAAAUAAAAUAACCUCUAGCUCUCUUGUUAUUUUAAGGCUGAGGGUGUGGCUCAGCUGUAGAACGCUUGCCUAGCAUGCAUGAGACCCCGGGUUCCAACCCUAGAGCCCCAGAAAUAAAAC
ensembl:lincRNA